rnacentral:lncRNA from 1 species
CUGCACGUGUUACUGCAGCUUUCGGCAGCCUCAGCAACAGCCGUGCCGUGACAACUUCUUUCCCUGCACUGACUGACAACGCACCUCCCAGCGUGCCAGCUUCUCUGGGAGCACGUGUACUGCUCAUUAGGAUUAAGUCACAUGAACUAUCUGGCAGCCUUCCUGUAAGAGCUGGUAAGGGACAGCUACCAUCAUACUGGGGAUAUCUGAGGACAGAUUUCCAGGACAUUGAGCAGAAAAGUUCUGGCACCUGAACCAGAUCCAUUUUUGGCAGAUGCGAACUGCAGCAGACCAUGCUUAAAUCACCUAAUCCAAGACAACGCUGUUAAGCUUGUACAACAACAGUGACAACAACAGAUCUCAAUAACAGUAAGAAAAAAAUACUGCCUUCUACAACAAUAAGAUGUUGGUGCUUUUUCCUUUGUGUUACAGACACUUUUUAUUUUCCAUGCAUUCUGUAUAUUUUACUGCAAGUAAAUACAGUUCAAUAAAUAUUUCCCAAUAAAU